rnacentral:rRNA from 1 species
GCAUAUCAAUAAGCGGAGGAAAAGAAACCAACAGGGAUUGCCCUAGUAACGGCGAGUGAAGCGGCAACAGCUCAAAUUUGAAAUCUGGCGCAAGCCCGAGUUGUAAUUUGUAGAGGAUGCUUCUAGGUAGCGACCGGUCUAAGUUUCUUGGAACAGGACGUCAUAGAGGGUGAGAAUCCCGUAUGUGACCGGCCCGCACCUUCUACGUAGCUCCUUCGACGAGUCGAGUUGUUUGGGAAUGCAGCUCUAAAUGGGAGGUAAAUUUCUUCUAAAGCUAAAUACCGGCCAGAGACCGAUAGCGCACAAGUAGAGUGAUCGAAAGAUGAAAAGCACUUUGGAAAGAGAGUUAAAAAGCACGUGAAAUUGUUGAAAGGGAAGCGCUUACAACCAGACUUCUGGGCGGUGUUCCGCCGGUCUUCUGACCGGUCUACUCGCCGUCCCGAGGCCAACAUCAUCUGGGACCGCUGGAUAAGACCUUAGGAAUGUAGCUUCCCUCGGGAAGUGUUAUAGCCUCUGGUGAUGCAGCGCGUCUCGGGUGAGGUCCGCGCUUCGGCAAGGAUGUUGGCGUAAUGGUUGUCAGCGGCCCGUCUUGAAACACGGACCAAGGAGUCUAACAUCUAUGCGAGUGUUCGGGUGUCAAACCCCUACGCGUAAUGAAAGUGAACGGAGGUGGGAAGGGUAACCUGCACCAUCGACCGAUCCUGAUGUCCUCGGAUGGAUUUGAGUAAGAGCAUAGCUGUUGGGACCCGAAAGAUGGUGAACUAUGCCUGAAUAGGGUGAAGCCAGAGGAAACUCUGGUGGAGGCUCGCAGCGGUUCUGACGUGCAAAUCGAUCGUCAAAUUUGGGUAUAGGGGCGAAAGACUAAUCGAACCAU